rnacentral:tRNA from 1 species
CAGAGAAUAGUUUAAAAAAUAUUAAUUUUGGAGAUUAAAGAUAGGAAGAAAAUUCUUUUCUCUGA